AGCUUUGCGCAGUGGCAGUAUCGUAGCCAAUGAGGUUUAUCCGAGGCACGAUUGUUGCUAAUUUAAAAAAAAAAAAAAAAGACUACCGCCCCACAAUUUUUUAAAUAUAUUUUUAU
rnacentral:snRNA from 1 species